rnacentral:rRNA from 1 species
GGGAAGUAAAAGUCGUAACAAGGUCUCCGUAGGUGAACCUGCGGAGGGAUCAUUACACAAAUAUGAAGGCGGGCUGGAACCUCUCGGGGUUACAGCCUUGCUGAAUUAUUCACCCUUGUCUUUUGCGUACUUCUUGUUUCCUUGGUGGGUUCGCCCACCACUAGGACAAACAUAAACCUUUUGUAAUUGCAAUCAGCGUCAGUAACAAAUUAAUAAUUACAACUUUCAACAACGGAUCUCUUGGUUCUGGCAUCGAUGAAGAACGCAGCGAAAUGCGAUAAGUAGUGUGAAUUGCAGAAUUCAGUGAAUCAUCGAAUCUUUGAACGCACAUUGCGCCCUUUGGUAUUCCAAAGGGCAUGCCUGUUCGAGCGUCAUUUGUACCCUCAAGCUUUGCUUGGUGUUGGGCGUCUUGUCUCUAGCUUUGCUGGAGACUCGCCUUAAAGUAAUUGGCAGCCGGCCUACUGGUUUCGGAGCGCAGCACAAGUCGCACUCUCUAUCAGCAAAGGUCUAGCAUCCAUUAAGCCUUUUUUUCAACUUUUGACCUCGGAUCAGGUAGGGAUACCCGCUGAACUUAAGCAUAUCAAUAAGCGGAGGAAAAGAAACCAACAGGGAUUGCCCUAGUAACGGCGAA